rnacentral:rRNA from 1 species
GACGAACGCUGGCGGUGUGCUUAACACAUGCCAGUCGAACGGUAAGGCCCUUUCGGGGGUACACGAGUGGCGAACGGGUGAGUAACACGUGAGUAACCUGCCCUCAUCUCUGGGAUAACAGUCGGAAACGGUUGCUAAUACUGGAUAUGAGCUUGCAAGGCAUCUUGUGGGUUGGAAAGAUUUUUUUUGGUUGGGGAUGGACUCGCGGCCUAUCAGCUUGUUGGUGAGGUAGUGGCUCACCAAGGCUUCGACGGGUAGCCGGCCUGAGAGGGCGACCGGCCACAUUGGGACUGGGAUACGGCCCAAACUCCUACGGGAGGCAGCAGUGGGGAAUAUUGCACAAUGGACGGAAGUCUGAUGCAGCAACGCCGCGUGCGGGAUGACGGCCUUCGGGUUGUAAACCGCUUUCAAUUGUGACGAAGCUUUUUUGUGACGGUAGCAGUAGAAGAAGCACCGGCUAACUACGUG